CCUACGGGAGGCAGCAGUGGGGAAUAUUGCACAAUGGGCGAAAGCCUGAUGCAGCAACGCCGCGUGAAGGAAGAAGGCCUUCGGGUCGUAAACUUCUGUCCUUGGGGAAGAAGAACUGACGGUACCCAAGGAGGAAGCCCCGGCUAACUACGUGCCAGCAGCCGCGGUAAUACGUAGGGGGCAAGCGUUAUCCGGAAUUAUUGGGCGUAAAGAGUACGUAGGUGGCAACCUAAGCGCAGGGUUUAAGGCAAUGGCUCAACCAUUGUUCGCCCUGCGAACUGGGAUGCUUGAGUGCAGGAGAGGAAAGCGGAAUUCCUAGUGUAGCGGUGAAAUGCGUAGAUAUUAGGAGGAACACCAGUGGCGAAGGCGGCUUUCUGGACUGUAACUGACACUGAGGUACGAAAGCGUGGGGAGCAAACAGGAUUAGAUACCCUUGUAGUC
rnacentral:rRNA from 1 species